rnacentral:ncRNA from 1 species
GGCUGAUGGUGAAUUCCCAACCGGCGGUAAAGUCCGCGACCCGGUGCAGUUUUUUGCGCCGGCUGACCUGGUGAGAUUCCAGGACCGACAGUAUAGUCUGGAUGAGAGAAGAA